CCAGCUGCUCCAAGCCAGGCUGAAGGAGGAGAAGGAGGAGUCGCCUGUGGUAGGGUCGAGCAGAUGACGUGGCUCUGCAGCUUGCCUCAUGCAGUUGGUGGUGGAGAUGGAGACCACAGCUCGACUGGAGCGACAGGAGGGCACCCACGGGGCCAGGUGAGUAUUGUCAUGUGCAUGAGCAAACCUGGUUCAUCACCACAUCUUUGCAAGAAGAAAAAGAAUAGGAGAGAAUCAUGUGUAUAAUGUUGUUAAGGCAAAGAUUCACAACCA
rnacentral:lncRNA from 1 species